AUUGAACGCUGGCGGCAGGCUUAACACAUGCAAGUCGAGCGAGGGGCGGACGGGUGAGUAAUGUCGGGGAAAGUGCCUGAUGGGGGGGGAUCACUACCGGAAAGGGUAGCUAAUACCGCAUACCAGCAGAUGUGCCCAGGUGGGUUUAGCUGGUGGGGGGGGUAAUGGCUCACCAAGGCGACGAUCCCUAGCGGGUCUGAGAGGAUGACCAGCCACACUGGGACUGAGACACGGUCCAGACUCCUACGGGAGGCAGCAGUGGGGAAUAUUGCACAAUGGGCGCAAGCCUGAUGCAGCCAUGCCGCGGGUAUGAAGAAGGCCUUCGGGUUGUAAAGGACUUUUGUCAGGGAAGCGGUACCCGCAGAAUAAGCACCGGCUAACUCCGUGCCAGCAGCCGCGGUAAUAC
rnacentral:rRNA from 1 species